rnacentral:rRNA from 1 species
UUCCGGUUGAUCCUGCCGGAGGUCAUUGCUAUUGGAGUCCGAUUUAGCCAUGCUAGUCGCACGAGUUCAGACUCGUGGCAGAUAGCUCAGUAACACGUGGCCAAACUACCCUGUCGAUCGGGACACCCUCGGGAAACUGAGGCUAAUCCCGGAUACGGCUCGCAGCCUGGAGUUGGCGCGAGCCCGAAACGUUCAGGCGCGACAGGGUGUGGCUGCGGCCGAUUAGGUAGACGGUGGGGUAACGGCCCACCGUGCCGAUAAUCGGUACGGGUUGUGAAAGCAAGAGCCCGGAGACGGAAUCUGAGACAAGAUUCCGGGCCCUACGGGGCGCAGCAGGCGCGAAACCUUUACACUGCACGCGAGUGCGAUAGGGGGACUCCAAGUGCGAGGGCAUACAGUCCUCGCUUUUCACCACCGUAAGGAGGUGGUAGAAUAAGUGCUGGGCAAGACCGGUGCCAGCCGCCGCGGUAAUACCGGCAGCACGAGUGAUGACCGCUAUUAUUGGGCCUAAAGCGUCCGUAGCCGGCUGGGCAAGUCCAUCGGGAAAUCCGCACGCCUAACGUGCGGGCGUCCGGUGGAAACUGUUCGGCUUGGGACCGGAAGAUCCAGAGGGUACGUCUGGGGUAGGAGUGAAAUCCUGUAAUCCUGGACGGACCACCGGUGGCGAAAGCGCUCUGGAGAGACGGAUCCGACGGUGAGGGACGAAAGCUUGGGUCACGAACCGGAUUAGAUACCCGGGUAGUCCAAGCUGUAAACGAUGUCUGCUAGGUGUGGCACAGGCUACGAGCCUGUGCUGUGCCGUAGGGAAGCCGUGAAGCAGACCGCCUGGGAAGUACGUCUGCAAGGAUGAAACUUAAAGGAAUUGGCGGGGGAGCACUACAACCGGAGGAGCCUGCGGUUUAAUUGGAUUCAACGCCGGA